UGGGGAAUAUUGCACAAUGGGCGCAAGCCUGAUGCAGCCAUGCCGCGUGUAUGAAGAAGGCCUUCGGGUUGUAAAGUACUUUCAGUCGGGAGGAAGGUGUCAAGGUUAAUAACCUUGGCAAUUGACGUUACCGACAGAAGAAGCACCGGCUAACUCCGUGCCAGCAGCCGCGGUAAUACGGAGGGUGCAAGCGUUAAUCGGAAUUACUGGGCGUAAAGCGCACGCAGGCGGUUGAUUGAGUCAGAUGUGAAAUCCCCGGGCUUAACCCGGGAAUUGCAUCUGAUACUGGUCAGCUAGAGUCUUGUAGAGGGGGGUAGAAUUCCAUGUGUAGCGGUGAAAUGCGUAGAGAUGUGGAGGAAUACCGGUGGCGAAGGCGGCCCCCUGGACAAAGACUGACGCUCAGGUGCGAAAGCGUGGGGAGCAAACGGG
rnacentral:rRNA from 1 species